UUUGACAUAUAGGUUGUAGGGAACUGAGAAGGGACCGACCCUUCGGGAGCCUAUACAGGUGUUGCAUGGCUGUCGUCAGCUCGUGUCGUGAGAUGUUCGGUUAAGUCCGCUAACGAGCGCAACCCUCGUCGUAUGUUAUAUGUGUCAUACGAGACUGCCGGUAAAAGCCGGAGGAAGGUGAGGAUGAUGUCAAGUCAGCAUGACCUUUAUAUCCAGGGCUACACACACGCUACAAUGGUCUGUACAAUGGGUAGCCAAGCCGCGAGGCGGAGCCAAUCCUGAAAGCAGGCCUCAGUUCAGAUUGCAGUCUGCAACUCGACUGCAUGAGGCCGGAGUUGCUAGUAACCGCAGGUCAGCAAUACUGCGGUGAAUACGUUCCCGGGUCUU
rnacentral:rRNA from 1 species